UGCGCAGGCGGGUUAUUAAGUCAGUGGUGAAAUCUCUCGGCUCAACCGAGAAACUGCCAUUGAAACUGAUAAUCUUGAGUAUAGUUGUAGUAGGCGGAAUAUAGCAUGUAGCGGUGAAAUGCUUGGAUAUGCUAUAGAACACCGAUCGCGAAGGCAGCUUACUAAACUAUUACUGACGCUCAUGCACGAAAGCGUGGGGAGCAAACAGGAUUAGAUACCCUGGUAGUC
rnacentral:rRNA from 1 species